UCCCCGGUAGCUCAGAGGUUAAAGCAUCUGCCUGCAAUGUGGGAGACCCAGGUUCGAUCUCUGGGUUGGGAA
rnacentral:tRNA from 1 species